AGUCGUAACAAGGUCUCCGUAGGUGAACCUGCGGAAGGAUCAUUACCUAGAGUUUGUAGACUUCGGUCUGCUACCUCUUACCCAUGUCUUUUGAGUACCUUCGUUUCCUCGGCGGGUCCGCCCGCCGAUUGGACAACAUUCAAACCCUUUGCAGUUGCAAUCAGCGUCUGAAAAAACAUAAUAGUUACAACUUUCAACAACGGAUCUCUUGGUUCUGGCAUCGAUGAAGAACGCAGCGAAAUGCGAUAAGUAGUGUGAAUUGCAGAAUUCAGUGAAUCAUCGAAUCUUUGAACGCACAUUGCGCCCCUUGGUAUUCCAUGGGGCAUGCCUGUUCGAGCGUCAUUUGUACCUUCAAGCUCUGCUUGGUGUUGGGUGUUUGUCUCGCCUCUGCGUGUAGACUCGCCUUAAAACAAUUGGCAGCCGGCGUAUUGAUUUCGGAGCGCAGUACAUCUCGCGCUUUGCACUCAUAACGACGACGUCCAAAGGUACAUUUUUACACUCUUGACCUCGGAUCAGGUAGGGAUACCCGCUGAACUUAAGCA
rnacentral:rRNA from 1 species